rnacentral:sRNA from 1 species
CUUUGGGUGUAAACAGAAAAGAAAUAGAAUUAAGAGGCAAGAGGUAACUGUAGUCGAGCAGUUCUGAAUAAGGAUUUGGAAGCCUCAUCUACAUCUCCAGAAUUUAAGUUUGCCCAAGAGCGACCAUUCUCCCAGGCAUGAUGAUAAUAGAUUAAACCUCUGAAAGGUUUUUCAGGAGCUUUUGAUGUCUACCACCCACUGGUCUAAGGCUUGGAGAUGGUUACUGAGGAUCUUGGACAAGUCUGGGAGCACUUUGGGAAUGGAAAACCAUAAUCAGAUGAUAAAUUACAUGAAAAAUUUAUUGAAAAACAUAAGACAGAAGAGGAUUCACUCUUUGGAUGGACUCAAAAUUAAUUUUAGCACAUUUCUUGUAUUCUCUAUCAAAUCAUGAUUAAAGAACAA